rnacentral:lncRNA from 1 species
AAAUCACAACUCUCUUUCUCUUUUCUUUGUGCUUACGGCCGAGAGCCAAAUCACAACCACCCACCCACUUUCAAAUCCCAUAUUAAUAAACCACAUACACUCAAGUGUGUAAGGUCGCAUACAAGGAAGCCUGGUGCUUGCGGAUUGCCAAGGACCUCUCUACGACGCUAUUAACCACCCAUUUUUCGUCUAGUUUCUUCCCUAGCCUCGAGCUAGUAACCAAAACUAAAAGUCUACUAAAAAUAAUAAAAAUGGUGGUUACGACGUUAAUUAAGCAAACCCGGUGAAGUUUACGACGCACAGGAACGCAAAGUUGUAACUAGGAUGGAUGUGCGCGUGGUCUCACUUAUGCUCGUGGAUGUCGCUUGUGUUUGUCUUUAAAUAAAGUGUAAACCUUUUAAGACAAUGUUUUAUGUUAACUCGCGAUGUAAACGCUAACUUAUGAUUUCAAAUUAUGGUAUUUGAAGUUAUU